rnacentral:rRNA from 1 species
CCUUUUGUAUAAUGGGUCAGCGACUUAUAUUCUGUAGCAAGGUUAACCGAAUAGGGGAGCCGAAGGGAAACCGAGUCUUAACUGGGCGUUAAGUUGCAGGGUAUAGACCCGAAACCCGGUGAUCUAGCCAUGGGCAGGUUGAAGGUUGGGUAACACUAACUGGAGGACCGAACCGACUAAUGUUGAAAAAUUAGCGGAUGACUUGUGGCUGGGGGUGAAAGGCCAAUCAAACCGGGAGAUAGCUGGUUCUCCCCGAAAGCUAUUUAGGUAGCGCCUCGUGAAUUCAUCUCCGGGGGUAGAGCACUGUUUCGGCAAGGGGGUCAUCCCGACUUACCAACCCGAUGCAAACUGCGAAUACCGGAGAAUGUUAUCACGGGAGACACACGGCGGGUGCUAACGUCCGUCGUGAAGAGGGAAACAACCCAGACCGCCAGCUAAGGUCCCAAAGUCAUGGUUAAGUGGGAAACGAUGUGGGAAGGCCCAGACAGCCAGGAUGUUGGCUUAGAAGCAGCCAUCAUUUAAAGAAAGCGUAAUAGCUCACUGGUCGAGUCGGCCUGCGCGGAAGAUGUAACGGGGCUAAACCAUGCACCGAAGCUGCGGCAGCGACGCUUAUGCGUUGUUGGGUAGGGGAGCGUUCUGUAAGCCUGUGAAGGUGUGCUGUGAGGCAUGCUGGAGGUAUCAGAAGUGCGAAUGCUGACAUAAGUAACGAUAAAGCGGGUGAAAAGCCCGCUCGCCGGAAGACCAAGGGUUCCUGUCCAACGUUAAUCGGGGCAGGGUGAGUCGACCCCUAAGGCGAGGCCGAAAGGCGUAGUCGAUGGGAAACAGGUUAAUAUUCCUGUACUUGGUGUUACUGCGAAGGGGGGACGGAGAAGGCUAUGUUGGCCGGGCGACGGUUGUCCCGGUUUAAGCGUGUAGGCUGGUUUUCCAGGCAAAUCCGGAAAAUCAAGGCUGAGGCGUGAUGA